CUGAAGCAGCAGCAGCAGCAGCAGAGGAGGAAGGAGGCUGAAGAAACGAUGGAGAGCCUGAAACAGGAGCUGCACGGGAAGAAACAGGAGGUUGAAGACAAACAAACUGAGGUGGAACAUCUGCAGGAGGAGAAGCAGAAGAUCAGAGAUGAUCUAAAGCCUCUAAGGGAAGCUCUGGACAAAAAGCAUGCAGAGCUGGAGACGAUCACAGAUCAGUUAUCCAAGGCUCCUGAGUUUACUUUUCCCUGG